rnacentral:rRNA from 1 species
ACGCUCGACACCUACGGGGGCAGCAGUCGGGAAUAUUGCGCAAUGGAGGAAACUCUGACGCAGUGACGCCGCGUAUAGGAAGAAGGUUUUCGGAUUGUAAACUAUUGUCGUUAGGGAAGAAAAAGGCAGUACCUAAGGAGGAAGCUCCGGCUAACUACGUGCCAACAGCCGCGGUAAUCUGAGCGGGCUGGCAAGGC